rnacentral:rRNA from 1 species
UACGUAGGGGGCAAGCGUUGUCCGGAAUCAUUGGGCGUAAAGAGCGUGUAGGCGGCCCGGUAAGUCCGCUGUGAAAGUCCAGGGCUCAACCCUGGGAUGCCGGUGGAUACUGUCGGGCUCGAGUCCGGAAGAGGAGUGUGGAAUUCCUGGUGUAGCGGUGAAAUGCGCAGAUAUCAGGAGGAACACCAGUAGCGAAGGCGGCUCACUGGGCCAUUCCUGACGCUGAGACGCGAAAGCUAGGGGAGCGAACAGG